UUGGCCUACGGGGCGCAGCAGUGAGGAAUAUUGGUCAAUGGCCGAGAGGCUGAACCAGCCAAGUCGCGUGAGGGAAGACGGCCCUACGGGUUGUAAACCUCUUUUGUCGGGGAGCAAAAGACGCCACGCGUGGCGUUCCGAGAGUACCCGAAGAAAAAGCAUCGGCUAACUCCGUGCCAGCAGCCGCGGUAAUACGGAGGAUGCGAGCGUUAUCCGGAUUUAUUGGGUUUAAAGGGAGCGCAGGCGGAAGAUCAAGUCAGCGGUAAAAUUGAGAGGCUCAACCUCUUCGAGCCGUUGAAACUGGU
rnacentral:rRNA from 1 species